rnacentral:rRNA from 1 species
AUUGAACGCUGGCGGCAGGCCUAACACAUGCAAGUCGAGCGAGCGGCGGACGGGUGAGUACUGUAUGGGGACUGCCCGAUAGAGGGGGAUAACUACUGUAAGCGGUAGCUAAUACCGCAUACGAUCGGAUAACCCAUAUGGGAUUAGCUAGUAGGUGAGGUAAUGGCUCACCUAGGCGACGGUCCCUAGCUGGUCUGAGAGGAUGAUCAGACACACUGGGACUGAGACACGGCCGAGACUUCAAGGGAGGCAGCAGUGGGGAAUAUUGCACAAUGGGCGCAAGGCUGAUGCAGCCAUGCCGAGUGUAUGAAGAAGGCCCUAGGGUUGGAAAGUACUUUCAGUCGGGAAGCGUUACCGACAGAAGAAGCACCGGCUAACUCCGUGCCAGCAGCCGCGGUAAUUC